rnacentral:rRNA from 1 species
UUGGAUAACUCCGGUAAUUGGGGAGCUAAGACACGCACAAAGUCCCGAACUUACGUGAGGGGCGCUUAUGUUACAUCACAACCAAACGACCUCGGCUGCAUCCUUGGUGACUAAAAAUAACUUUGGGCUGAUCGCACGGCCUAGCGCCGGCGACGUAUCCCUUGAAGGGGUGCCUUAUCAGCGGUAGGCCGUGGCAUAGACGCCCACAGUGGUUGAGUCGGGUAACGGGGAAUCAGGGUUCGAUUCGGGAGAGGGAACAAAAAAAACGGCUACCACAUCUAAGGAAGGCAGCAGGCACGCAAAUUCCCCAAUGACCGGAGGUUGCAGUAGAGACAAAAAAUAACGAUACGGGACUCAUGAGAGGCCCCGCAAUCGGAAUGAGCACACUUUAAAACCGUCCCCGAGGA